rnacentral:rRNA from 1 species
UGGGGGAUAUUGCACAAUGGGCGAAAGCCUGAUGCAGCGACGCCGCGUGGGGGAUGAAGGCCUUCGGGUUGUAAACUUCUUCUGCUCUGAACAAGGCAUGCCUUUGGGGUGUGUUGAGUGUAGGGGUUGAUUAGCGCCGGCUAACUACGUGCCAGCAGCCGCGGUAAUACGUAGGGCGCGAGCGUUGUCCGGAAUUAUUGGGCGUAAAGGGCUUGUAGGUGGCUAGUUGCGUCUGUCGUGACAGCUCAUGGCUUAACUGUGGGUUUGCGGUGGGUACGGGCUGGCUUGAGUGCAGUAGGUGUGGCUGGAAUUCCUGGUGUAGCGGUGGAAUGCGCAGAUAUCAGGAGGAUUACCGGUGGCGAAGGGGGGUCUCUGGGCUGUUACUGACGCUGAAGAGCGAAAGCGUGGGGAGCGAACAGG